GGCUCUAUGGUCUAGAGGUAUGAUUCCUGCUUUGGGUUCGCUCACUAGCGUUCGUUUGCAGGAGGCCCCGGGUUCGAAUCCCGGUGGAGCCC